AUGCAGUCGAGCGAUCGAUGGGAGCUUGCUCCCUGAGAUUAGCGGCGGACGGGUGAGUAACACGUGGGCAACCUGCCUAUAAGACUGGGAUAACUUCGGGAAACCGGAGCUAAUACCGGAUACGUUCUUUUCUCGCAUGAGAGAAGAUGGAAAGACGGUUUACGCUGUCACUUAUAGAUGGGCCCGCGGCGCAUUAGCUAGUUGGUGAGGUAAUGGCUCACCAAGGCGACGAUGCGUAGCCGACCUGAGAGGGUGAUCGGCCACACUGGGACUGAGACACGGCCCAGACUCCUACGGGAGGCAGCAGUAGGGAAUCUUCCGCAAUGGACGAAAGUCUGACGGAGCAACGCCGCGUGAACGAAGAAGGCCUUCGGGUCGUAAAGUUCUGUUGUUAGGGAAGAACAAGUACCAGAGUAACUGCUGGUACCUUGACGGUACCUAACCAGAAAGCCACGGCUAACUACGUGCCAGCAGCCGCGGUAAUACGUAGGUGGCAAGCGUUGUCCGGAAUUAUUGGGCGUAAAGCGCGCGCAGGUGGUUCCUUAAGUCUGAUGUGAAAGCCCACGGCUCAACCGUGGAGGGUCAUUGGAAACUGGGGAACUUGAGUGCAGAAGAGGAAAGUGGAAUUCCAAGUGUAGCGGUGAAAUGCGUAGAGAUUUGGAGGAACACCAGUGGCGAAGGCGACUUUCUGGUCUGUAACUGACACUGNNNNNCGAAAGCGUGGGGAGCAAAC
rnacentral:rRNA from 2 species